rnacentral:rRNA from 1 species
CAGUCGCCGCGGGAAUACGUAGGUGGCAAGCGUUGUCCGGAUUUAUUGGGCGUAAAGCGAGCGCAGGCGGUUUCUUAAGUCUGAUGUGAAAGCCCCCGGCUCAACCGGGGAGGGUCAUUGGAAACUGGGAGACUUGAGUGCAGAAGAGGAGAGUGGAAUUCCAUGUGUAGCGGUGAAAUGCGUAGAUAUAUGGAGGAACACCAGUGGCGAAGGCGGCUCUCUGGUCUGUAACUGACGCUGAGGCUCGAAAGCGUGGGGAGCGAACAGGAUUAGAUACCCGUGUAGUCCCUGUCUCUUAUAC